rnacentral:rRNA from 1 species
GACGAACGCUGGCGGCGUGCUUAACACAUGCAAGUCGAACGGAAAGGCCCUGCUUUUGUGGGGUGCUCGAGUGGCGAACGGGUGAGUAACACGUGAGUAACCUGCCCUUGACUUUGGGAUAACUUCAGGAAACUGGGGCUAAUACCGGAUAGGAGCUCCUGUUGCAUGGUGGGGGUUGGAAAGUUUCGGCGGUUGGGGAUGGACUCGCGGCUUAUCAGCUUGUUGGUGGGGUAGUGGCUUACCAAGGCUUUGACGGGUAGCCGGCCUGAGAGGGUGACCGGCCACAUUGGGACUGAGAUACGGCCCAGACUCCUACGGGAGGCAGCAGUGGGGAAUAUUGCACAAUGGGCGGAAGCCUGAUGCGGCAACGCCGCGUGCGGGAUGACGGCCUUCGGGUUGUAAACCGCUUUCGCCUGUGACGAAGCGUGAGUGACGGUAAUGGGUAAAGAAGCACCGGCUAACUACGUGCCAGCAGCCGCGGUGAUACGUAGGGUGCGAGCGUUGUCCGGAUUUAUUGGGCGUAAAGGGCUCGUAGGUGGUUGAUCGCGUCGGAAGUGUAAUCUUGGGGCUUAACCCUGAGCGUGCUUUCGAUACGGGUUGACUUGAGGAAGGUAGGGGAGAAUGGAAUUCCUGGUGGAGCGGUGGAAUGCGCAGAUAUCAGGAGGAACACCAGUGGCGAAGGCGGUUCUCUGGGCCUUUCCUGACGCUGAGGAGCGAGAGCGUGGGGAGCGAACAGGCUUAGAUACCCUGGUAGUCCACGCUGUAAACGGUGGGUACUAGGUGUGGGGUCCAUUCCACGGGUUCCGUGCCGUAGCUAACGCUUUAAGUACCCCGCCUGGGGAGUACGGCCGCAAGGCUAAAACUCAAAGGAAUUGACGGGGCCCCGCACAAGCGGCGGAGCAUGCGGAUUAAUUCGAUGCAACGCGUAGAACCUUACCUGGGUUUGACAUGGAUCGGGAGUGCUCAGAGAUGGGUGUGCCUCUUUUGGGGUCGGUUCACAGGUGGUGCAUGCCUGUCGUCAGCUCGUGUCGUGAGAUGUUGGGUUAAGUCCCGCAACGAGCGCAACCCUUGUUCACUGUUGCCAGCACGUUAUGGUGGGGACUCAGUGGAGACCGCCGGGGUCAACUCGGAGGAAGGUGGGGAUGACGUCAAGUCCUCAUGCCCCUUAUGUCCAGGGCUUCACGCAUGCUACAAUGGCUGGUACAGAGAGUGGCGAGCCUGUGAGGGUGAGCGAAUCUCGGAAAGCCGGUCUCAGUUCGGAUUGGGGUCUGCAACUCGACCCCAUGAAGUCGGAGUCGCUAGUAAUCGCAGAUCAGCAACGCUGCGGUGAAUACGUUCCCGGG